rnacentral:tRNA from 1 species
CGGGAUGUAGCUCAGCCUGGUAGAGCGCCUCACUCAAGACGAGCAGGAGGUCGCGGGUUCGAAUCCCGCCGUUCCGA